UAUUUAUAGGACCAAACUCUGGACUGUCAACAACACCUUCUGUUCUUUUUUACCAUUCAUAGCAUAGCAGCUUAGUCCAACUCCACACCCACCACCAUUGGCUGUUUGUGAUCAUCCGAAAAAGAAUGGUGACCGUGGAAGAAGUUCGUAAGGCUCAACGUGCCCAAGGCCCUGCCACCGUGUUGGCCAUCGGCACAUCAACCCCGCCUAAUUGUGUUGAUCAGAGCACAUACCCUGACUACUAUUUCCGUAUCACAAAUAGUGAGCACAAGACCGAGUUGAAAGAGAAGUUCAAGCGCAUGUGUAAGUGAAAAUCGAUGAUCAAGAAGCGAUACAUGUACCUUACAGAAGAGAUUUUGAAAGAGAAUCCCAAUGUAUGUGAAUACAUGGCUCCUUCACUGGACGCUAGGCAAGAUAUGGUGGUAGUUGAGGUGCCAAAGCUAGGCAAAGAAGCAGCCACCAAGGCCAUUAAGGAGUGGGGCCAGCCCAAGUCCAAGAUCACCCACCUUGUCUUUUGCACCACUAGCGGUGUGGACAUGCCUGGGGCUGACUACCAGCUCACCAAGCUUUUAGGCCUCCGCCCCUCCGUUAAGCGCCUCAUGAUGUACCAACAAGGUUGCUUCGCAGGGGGGACGGUGCUCCGAGUGGCUAAGGACUUAGCUGAGAACAACAAAGGUGCUCGUGUACUUGUUGUGUGCUCGGAGAUUACUGCUGUUACCUUUCGUGGACCUAGUGACACUCACCUAGACAGUCUUGUGGGCCAAGCAUUGUUUGGUGAUGGUGCCGCAGCUGUUAUAAUCGGGGCAGACCCGUGCCCGAAAUCGAGAAGCCCAUGUUUGAACUAGUCUCAGCAGCCCAAACGAUCUUGCCAGAUAGUGAUGGUGCGAUUGAUGGUCACCUUCGUGAAGUUGGUCUUACAUUUCACCUUCUUAAGGAUGUUCCGGGGCUUAUUUCGAAGAAUAUAGAAAAGAGCCUGGUAGAAGCAUUUCAACCAUUGGGCAUAUCCGAUUGGAACUCCCUUUUUUGGAUUGCUCAUCCUGGUGGUCCAGCAAUAUUAGAUCAAGUAGAAGCCAAAUUAGCACUGAAGCCAGAGAAGCUACGAGCCACAAGGCACGUUCUUUCAGAGUAUGGUAACAUGUCAAGUGCUUGUGUUCUAUUUAUUUUGGAUGAGAUGAGGAAGAAAUCAAGGGAAGAUGGGCUUCAGACCACAGGAGAAGGAUUGGAGUGGGGAGUGCUCUUUGGGUUUGGACCUGGCCUCACUGUUGAGACUGUUGUGCUCCAUAGUGUUGCUGCUUAAAGUUAAACAAACAUGCCUUUUAAGUAAUUGGUCGUGCUCCACUUGGCUUGCAGUUUUAUCUUCUUCUUUUUUCCUUUUUUAGAAUCCUAUGAAUUUGUGUGUUUAUUGUUAAAGACUAGAAGCCUUUGAUGGUGUGGGCGGGAAGCUUAACGCCUAUUCAAUUCAUGUAUCAACUUAUAUUAAAUUUAUGGCAAUAAUAAGUUACUUUGUAAACUAUUCUACAAAAACAAA